rnacentral:rRNA from 1 species
GACGAACGCUGGCGGCGUGCUUAACACAUGCAAGUCGAGCGGUAAGGCCCUUUCGGGGGUACACGAGCGGCGAACGGGUGAGUAACACGUGGGUGACCUGCCCUCAGCUCUGGGAUAAGCCUGGGAAACCGGGUCUAAUACCGGAUAUGACUCCAUGACGCAUGUUGUGGGGUGGAAAGCCUUGUGCGGCUGAGGAUGGGCCCGCGGCCUAUCAGCUUGUUGGUGGGGUGAUGGCCUACCAAGGCGACGACGGGUAGCCGGCCUGAGAGGGCGACCGGCCACACUGGGACUGAGACAC